rnacentral:rRNA from 1 species
CCUACGGGUGGCAGCAGUGGGGGAUAUUGCACAAUGGGGGGAACCCUGAUGCAGCGACGCCGCGUGAGCGAAGAAGUACCUCGGUAUGUAAAGCUCUAUCAGCAGGGAAGAAAAUGACGGUACCUGACUAAGAAGCCCCGGCUAAAUACGUGCCAGCAGCCGCGGUAAUACGUAUGGGGCAAGCGUUAUCCGGAUUUACUGGGUGUAAAGGGAGCGCAGGCGGCCUGCCAAGUCUGGUGUGAAAACCCGGGGCCCAACCCCGGGCCUGCAUUGGAAACUGGCGGGCUGGAGUGUCGGAGGGGCAGGCGGAAUUCCUAGUGUAGCGGUGAAAUGCGUAGAUAUUGCGAAGAACUCCGAUUGCAAAGGCAGCAUACCGGCGGCGAUCUGACGCUGAGGCACGAAAGCGUGGGUAUCGAACAGGAUUAGAUACCCUAGUAGUC